GAGUUGUAGACCAAACCAUCUGAGGAUCCCAGGUUGAGAACCACUGCUUUAAAAGAAGGAGAAGUAGCCCUGAGUCCAGACUUGAGUUGGCUCCUGUCCCACCUGAAAGACUUGAGAAGGAAGCAGCCAAAGAGAAACUGCAAAAUGGAGACAUGUCAGGAGAUGAUGUGUUUGGCGGUGAAUGCAGCCCUGAACAGGUGAACGACAAAGUCAGUCCUGUGGUUGCUGAAAGUGGGGAUCUCCAGUUUCAUCAGGACAAUUCUGAAGUGUCUCCUGCCACAAAGCCACCCCUGCAGAGCCCAAAUCCCGCUGAAGCCGCUCCCAGUCACCACAGGAAGCUGGCUGUCGAGGAGAUGGUGAUCCGUGACCAUUUGGGCCAGGAAGUGGGAAGCAUGGAUGCUGUUGGGCAGAAGCAGAGCUCCAUCGUGAAGGAAGAAGAGACCGAGGAGCCUGCUCCUUUGAGGAACGGCUGUGAAGAGGGGAGUGAGCCGGCCCCCCUUUGCAGUGACUUAGGUCAAGAAACGUCCCCAACUGCUUUAGGAAGCCAACUGGAUGGCGAGCUUGGCAGCCGUGAAGGCCCAGAGGGAGAGUCUCCCACAUCACAGGAUGAACAUCAGCAGAGUCCCUCCAACCAGGUCCAGGAUGUGAGCAGCUGUCUUGAUUCUUCUAUGCAGCAGGCGGAUGGAGAACUGGGCAAAGAGACAGCUCUGAUGGGAGCAGGGCAGACAGAGCUGCCAGGGCAGAGUGUCAGUGAAGUGGAGCCUACCCAAGAUCCAGCAGUUAGUGAUGCUGUGGCAGCAAAUUCAGUAACAUCAGGACAGUCAACUCAAGAAAACAAGAAGGAGCCACAAGCAUCCCAUGAAGCAGAGAUCUCAGUGCUGGGGCAAAAAGCAGAGCCACUGUUUCCAGACCAGACCUCUCCUGUUCCUGAAGCCUCUUCAGAAGAGGACAAGUUGUCAUCAUCUCCAGCAGAACAGGUUGCACUUGAUGCUCAGAAUCUAAUCCCUUCUCUGCAAGACACAAAGGGAUCCCUUCUAGAUCAGAUCCCUUCUUCUCUUCAGGAAAUGGAGAGUCCCCUCCUGGAGCCUGUGGUUUUGUCACAGCCGAAUCAGAGUCCAUCAGUUCUUUUGAACCAGGGUGGUCCUCCUUUGCAAGAAACUGAGGGACCUCUUCUGGCUCAGAUUGUCUCUUCAGAGCAGGAACCUGUUUUAGAUCCAAACCCACCAUCUCUGCAGGACUCUUUCCCCUCUUUUUCAGAACAGAAAGCGCUUUCAUCGCAGGGUGUGGCCAUUGCUUUGCAGGAAGCUAAACACUCCUCGUUGGACCAGGUCCCAUCCCCUGUGCACGAAACUAAUGGAGCCUGUCUGGAUCAGAUCCCAACCUCUUUACAAAGCACUCCUUUGCCAGAUCAGAUGCUAUCACCUCCUUCAGACCAGCUCGCAUCUCUGUCAGAUGACAUUCCCUCCACUUUGCAUGAAAAAGAGAGAUCUUCCCAGAUAUCAUCAACUCUUGAAAAUCAAGAAUCGUUUGUGAUGGAGGUUAGGGAUUCAUUUCCAGACAUCACCUCCUCACUGCCUAAUCCACUUUCUUCUCUGCCUGAUGAGGUCAGUCCCCUUCAAGAUGCUCAAGAGCUGACUUUGAAAGAGAUUCAGAUAGAACUGGAGCACCAAACAACAACCGCACCAGAGACUCAGAUUUCUUCUUUGCCAGAGGCUGACAAUAUUCUUCAAGGCCAAGCCCCAUCUUCUGUGGGUGGCGAUGAGCAUCUGGUUCCCAUGGAGACUCCAGUCUCUGGACCAGAGCAGAUCCUGCAGGUUCAAACAUGGCCAUUUGUGGAGGGACAGACCCUUUCUUCUCUGCCAGAGGUUGGGAGGUCUUCUACAGAGGAAUCUCAGGAGCCCCUGCCCAGUCAAACCUUACCCAGUCUCCCUGAAGCCAGAAAGUCACUUCCCGGUGAGGCCCAAAUAGUGUUGGAGGAGCUGGUGCCAACCUCUGCUCAAGACCAACCUUCUUCUCUUGCGGAGGUAGCAAAGACCGUGUCAUCUGAUGUGGAAAAAAUACCUGCACUGCCUGACCAGACCCCAUCCCCCAAGCAAGGCCCAAAUGCAACACUGCAGGAUAUAGCAAACGUUCCUGAUGUUUUGCUCUCAUCCAGCCAAGAGCAUGCCCAAUCCAUUUUGAGCAAGACUGCCCCCAUGGCAAACCAGGAAGUGAAAGGAGGUGGAGAUGCCAACCUGUCCUCAACAACAGCAGAAGAGAUGCCAGAAGUCCUGGGAGAUCUCCAUGCUGAGCAGCAGCCCCUGCUGAAUGCAACAAAUGCCUCGGUAGCCCCUCCAGAAAUGUCUCUAGGAGACCCACAACUGUCCAAGACAGGGAUCCUAAAGCCCCAGGCAGCCCUGAACCAGGAGACCCCAACCUACACCACCGCCUCUGCCAACACUGCCUCAUCCCGCCAGCUCCAGCCCACUGGGUCCCGCCAAGAGGAAGGCGAAGACCAGAGCCAGAGCAGGCGCAAGCAGAAAUCGUGCCAGUGUUGUUCGGUCAUGUAGGCCCCGGGCACUUUUGCCCAGCUGAGAUGCCCUCCAUUCCUCUCUCCCUCAGGAAUAGGAGUUGUUGAUCUGGUCCCAGCGGCAGGCUCUGGAACUGGUAAUUUGCCCUGCCAGUAGUCUAGUGUAGGCAGAACAUAUACACACACAUGAGCACACACAACACACAAACCCCACACCCUUUGGUUCUUUGGAGCAACAGAGUUGCUGUUUUGGAGCUGGCCCCUGGAGGGUUUGUCAGGUCACAGACAGCGCAGUGGAUAUGUCUCUUCCCCUCCCUCCUUCCACUACACAGCUUAUCCACCCCUGCUUUUCGGGAGGUGGUGAUGGGGAGAUUCAGCAAUGCCAUGCCCUCACUUUUGGAGAGGUUCCGGCAUGUUUUGGUGUGUCCAUAUUCAUGCAUGCGCACUUGCACAUGGGUAUUCUCACACACAUGCCACAGCACCCUAUCAUUGUGGGCCUAUUUUUUUUCCACAAACUGAAUCCUGGGACCUCAGCACCCAAAUCCUUCAGGAGCAUGCCUUCCAUUCACUUUGGCAUGCAUGGAUUCUCAUUUGCACCUUCAGAAUGCACAUCUUUGUGCAGAGGUGUUGGAACAUUCAGUACAGAUACUAUACAGUCCUAUGUUUGCUCUCACAGGCUUGCACAGCAGCAUAUUUACUGUCACGUGCCAUUAUUCAAUUCCACGCUCCCACAUAACUUGUAGAUAAUUUUCACAGGGCUGGGCAUAAAGGCUAUACACAAUGCAUGCAGCAUUCUUGACAUCUCCACCCCUUUACAUGUGCUUGAAUCCCUUGGUCAACUUGGCAUGACUUCCCAAAGCAGUCUAGGCACUUUCCAGAUUUGGAGCACCACCUUAUUUCUGCACCUCUGCUGAGAUGGUCCAGUUGCGUACGAUGGAUCUGGAUCAGCACUAUGACACCGCGGGCAAAAGAGGGCUCCUUGCCAGUCGGCGGUGCACUGGAAGAGACUUUGGACCAGGCGCUGCUGGAGCCCUCCCUCCUGAAUAGAGCCUCCCAGCCAAGACCCCCCCUCUGGGGCAGACAGACUUUUCUCCCUCACAAUGCCAGAGGGAGACAUCUUUUCCUGACUGUGAUCCUUCCAUUCCUCUAACAACCACUGGGCCGCUGCUCUGCCUGUCAGGGCGCAAAGACCCCCAGCCCUCUACCUCCCUUUCCCAUGACUGUUUAUUCUAUGCACUUUGUUUGAAUUAUAAUUAGUAUCUAACCUUGUUUAGGGCCCCCACCAAAGCCAGUAAGAGCCUUUUACAUGUCAAUUCCUGGGCAGUUACAGAGAGAUUCUCAAUUAAAGUCAGAUGCAAUGACAAAAGUGAAAUCUGUUACUGUGCUUGUGGGCAGGAAGCAAGCCGCGCACCCUGGAAUUGGAAAAAUGCUGUUUAACACAUUAGCUUUGUUCCAGUAAUAACAGUAUCAACUGGAGAAUCAACACGGUGUACACAACAGGCUAGUGAAAGGGAGGCUUUUGGAGUCAUUUCCUGCACAAAGUUUGGAAAAGUUCCUUUUGAAUCACAACUUCCUGAAUCCCCCUGGAAGGUCUGGAAGUUGUAGUAACACCCGCUCCUGCCCAAAAAAAGGAGCAGUUUUCCAAACUAAGAGUUGCUCCAAGGUCAUGUGGCUGGCAUGACCGCAUGGAGCUCCGUUACCUUCCUGCCAAAGUGUUACCUAUUGAUCUCCUCACAUUUGCAUGUUUUCGAACUGCUAGGUUGGCAGAAGUUGGGGCUAACAGUGGGAGCAAAACACAGAUGUCUACUAUACACAGCAAAAAAGGAAAAGUAUUGUAUAUAAUAGUCAUGCCGGCCACAUUACCUUGGAGCUGUCUACGGACAACGCCGGCUCUUCGGCUUAGAAAUGGAGAUGAGCACCAACCCCCAGAGUCAGACAUGACUGGACUUAACGUCAGGGGAAACCUUUAUCUUUUAUGGUAUAACAUCAACUUAUACUUAACACACUGUUGGUGAGUAACUGAUUCUUUAAACCAUCUCGGGUGAAUUCAUUCACCAUAAGGAAGAGUAAUCGACCAUACAAUCCAGUGAACAACCCAGUGAACUCUUCACCAUUGAGUAAAUCCACUUUGUUAUCAUAUAUACAAGAAAUUUAUACUGCAUUUUAUUUUGCUUUGAAUGAUUUCACCUUGAACAACACUACAACAGAUCUUGAGAUUAUUAUCAAGACGACGAUAGGACUGUAUUGAGAACCAGAAACUACAUUAGCUAGAACUGGAUUUAAGACUAGAGACUGAAUUAGCUUAAACCAGAUUCAAACCCGAUGCAAUGUUAUAAUUACUCUUUACAAUUAUGUUGUAUAUAUACAGAUUGAUGGUUGAAUAAAUCCACCUGGAUAUUGUAUAUACAGGGUACCUAUACUAGAUUGUAUUUUGUUUGAAUAGAUACCAUAACUAAGUUUGAGACUGUCAUUUAGGCAAACAACAGGAAUGGGUUCAUGGUCAACAACCGGUUUAGCUUAAACCCAAUCCAGACCUGAGAUGGUUUAAAGAAUGAGUUAUUCACCAAUACAGUGUGUUAAAUAUAA
rnacentral:lncRNA from 11 species